rnacentral:rRNA from 1 species
UACGUAGGGGGCAAGCGUUGUCCGGAAUUACUGGGCGUAAAGCGCGCGUAGGCGGCUUUGUAAGUUAGAGGUGAAAGCCCGGAGCUUAACUCCGGAAUUGCCUUUAAGACUGCAUCGCUAGAAUCAUGGAGAGGUGAGUGGAAUUCCGAGUGUAGAGGUGAAAUUCGUAGAUAUUCGGAAGAACACCAGUGGCGAAGGCGACUCACUGGACAUGUAUUGACGCUGAGGUGCGAAAGCGUGGGGAGCAAACAGG